rnacentral:rRNA from 1 species
GGGGGGUUCGACGGCCAGUGAUUAGAGUUUGAUCCUGGCUCAGGAUGAACGCUGGCGGCAUGCCUAAGACAUGCAAGUCGAACGAGGUGGCCCACAGAUUGAUAUUGAAAAUGGAGUGCUUGCACAAAGUCGGAUUUAUCAUGAUGUGGAUUUCCCACCUAGUGGCAAACGGGUGAGUAACACAUGGGUUACCUGCCUCUAAGUUGGGGAUAACAGUUGGAAACGAUUGCUAAUACCGAAUGUGAUCUACGGAUUAAAGUUCCCCUUAAAGGAACGCUUAGAGAUGGGCCUGUGGCGUAUUAGCUAGUUGGUGGGGUAAUGGCCUACCAAGGCAACGAUGCGUAGCCGAGCUGAGAGGUUAAUCGGCCACACUGGGACUGAGACACGGCCCAGACUCCUACGGGAGACAGCAGUUAGGAAUAUUCGUCAAUGGGGGAAACCCUGAACGAGCAAUGCCGCGUGAGUGAUGACGGCCCUCUGGGUUGUAAAACUCUGUUGUUUGGAAAGAAUGAUAAGAUGAGGAAAUGCUUCUUAUUUGACGGUACCAUUCAAGAAAGUCACGGCUAACUACGUGCCAGCAGCCGCGGUAAUACGUAGGUGGCGAGCGUUAUCCGGAUUUAUUGGGCGUAAAGCGUGCGCAGGCGGUUUAUUAAGUCUAGAAUUAAAGCCCGAAGCUUAACUUCGGUUCGUUCUAGAAACUGGUAGACUCGAGUAUGGUAGAGGCAAAUGGAAUUCCUAGUGUAGCGGUAAAAUGCGUAGAUAUUAGGAGGAACACCAGUGGCGAAGGCGAUUUGCUGGGCCAUUACUGACGCUCAUGCACGAAAGCGUGGGGAGCAAAUAGGAUUAGAUACCCUAGUAGUCCACGCCGUAAACGAUGAGUACUAAGUGUCGGGCAACCGGUGCUGAAGUUAACACAUUAAGUACUCCGCCUGAGUAGUACGGUCGCAAGGCUGAAACUCAAAAGGAAUUGACGGGCACCCGCACAAGUGGUGGAGCAUGCUGUUUAAUUCG